ensembl:lncRNA
AUGAAGCGCUGCAGAAUUUUCCUAACCGAGUCACUAACACCCUUCUUUUCUCCUCUCCUCUCUUCCUUGUCUUGUUACAUCUCUUUACUUCUCUUCAUUGUUGUGGCUCAUCCCAUCUCAUCUCCUGUUGUGUCUUCUCCUUUUCAUCUCGUCUCCUCUCUUCCUUAUCUUGUCUUUUUUCUUCUUGUCUCCUUUCAUCUAUUAUGUUCCCAUCGUUUGUCUUGUUGUCUUGUCUCAUCUGGUCUCUUCAUUGUCUUCUCUUCUUGUCUCUAUCUUUGUCUUAUCUUUAUUUCUCUUCUCCUUACUUGUCUUUUGUCUCAUCUUCUCUUCUCUUCUCUUCUCUUCUCUUCUCUUCUCUUCUCUUCUCUUCUCUUCUCUUCUCUUCUCUUCUCUUCUCUUCUCUUCUCUUCUCUUCUCUUCUCUUCUCUUCUCUUCUCUUCUCUUGAUUGUUGUGCCUUGUCUCAUCUCAUCUUGUGUCCUGUACUGUCUACCCUGACUUGUCUCUUCUCUUCUUUGUCUUGUCUCUUGUAUUCUCUCCCUAGUCUUGUUUCAUCUCUUCUGUUCACAUUUGUCUUGUCUCAUCCUCGUUUUCACUUGUCUUGUUUCAUCUCUUCUUCUGUCCUCUCCUCAUCCUUCUCCUUGUCUCAUCUUCUCUCCUCCUCAUUUUUUCUUAUCUUGUCUCUUUCUUGUUCUCCUGGUCUCAUUUUGUCUGUUCUCAUCAUUUGUCUUGUCUCAUCUCUUGUCUUCUCCUGUCCUCCCUGUCAUGUCUCCUCUACUUGUCUCAUUUUUCAUUUCUUCUCUCUUCAUCUUCUCUUUUCCUCUAUUCUCUUCUUGCCAUUUGUCUUGUCUCAUUUAGUCCUGUCUGUUUUCUCCAUUUCUCAUCUCCCAACUUGCCUGGCCUCAUCUUGUCUCUCGUCUCAUUUUGUCUCUUCCCAUAUCAUCUCUUAUCUUGUAAUUUGUCUUGUUUCAUUCUUGAAUCUCAUCUCCUCCACUUCUUCUUGUCUCUCAUCUCAUUUUGUCUCAUCUCUAGUCGUACCAUCUAGUCUCUUUUUGUCUCUUUUGCAGUAG